rnacentral:rRNA from 1 species
CGGGAUGGGUGAGUAACGCGUGGGUAACCUGCCUUGCACUGGGGGAUAACACUUAGAAAUAGGUGCUAAUACCGCAUAAGCGCACGGUCCUGCAUGGGACAGUGUGAAAAACUCCGGUGGUAUGAGAUGGACCCGCGUCUGAUUAGCUGGUUGGUGAGGUAAGGGCUCACCAAGGCGACGAUCAGUAGCCGGCCUGAGAGGGUGAACGGCCACAUUGGGACUGAGACACGGCCCAAACUCCUACGGAAGGCAGCAG